CGACUCCACAGGAUAGGAGCAGAAAUUCGAGCCCGGGUGCUGCUUUUGUGCACAGUUUGUGGCCUCUCUCUUAACUCCGUUCCUUAGCAGAAAGAAAGAAUUCAGUCUGGUGGGUGAGGUGGGCUGCUGAAUUCUUUCUAUUUCAAUUGUAUUGAGGAGCUUUCGAGAUUUUCCAUUUUUGUUUUCUUUCAUCAUCCAUCUAAGUGUAAAAGCUAGCUGUCAUUUGGAAAAGUUGGGAGGAGACGGCAUUUAGAGACAAACUACAACCUUCAAAUAGAAAAAUGUACAUUUAAACUCUAAAAUUUCAAAGAAGUUAGUUUGCAAAUUGGUUGUUUUUCAAGAAAUGACUCAUUUCUUCAAGUGGUUUCGACUUCCUAUUAUCUGGAUUUGAUCCAUCACUUAUGUCAGAUCAACUAAGCCUGGUCCAUCAUGGUUACAAAGUGCCCAGCCUGGCACCAUGCAUGGUAUGCGGAGACCAAAGCCAAGGGGCUGUUUUCCUGCGGGAAUUUACACUGAUUCGAAGAGAGAGCCUCCAUGAAGAUUUCCUGUCUGACCUCUUGAAUAGUCACAAAACUGAAGACUCGGCAACAAUUUUUCUACUUAAAGAAGGACUAUCAGCCAUGAAUAGAUCUAAGCUGAAGUGGAAAAAAAAGUGAUCUGAAUAUGUAAAGUCAC
rnacentral:lncRNA from 1 species